rnacentral:rRNA from 1 species
UACGUAGGGGGCUAGCGUUGCUCGGAAUCACUGGGCGUAAAGCGCACGUAGGCGGCUUUUUAAGUCAGGGGUGAAAUCCUGGAGCUCAACUCCAGAACUGCCUUUGAUACUGAGAAGCUUGAGUUCGGGAGAGGUGAGUGGAACUGCGAGUGUAGAGGUGAAAUUCGUAGAUAUUCGCAAGAACACCAGUGGCGAAGGCGGCUCACUGGCCCGAUACUGACGCUGAGGUGCGAAAGCGUGGGGAGCAAACAGG